UCCCCCCCCCAUCCCCCACUCUUCUAGGGAGAUUCCAGCACUCAUGUCCAGCCUCUCUAAAUGCAGGAGUCAUGUGCUGCCCAUGGUCAUAAGGCUAAAUUCUGGCUUACAUUGUUGUUCCCCUCUUAGAGCAGACUAAUGUCUGCAGAUACAGAGCUCAUUUAGGAUGAUGGAGCCUUUGCUGACUAGUGGGCUGAGGUGACUGUACUGUAUUCUAAAAGUUGGAGUAAGAACAAAAACUCUGCUUCUUUUUACAUUUUAAUUAUGAUUCUGUGAAACAGUUGCACAAAACAUUUGUAGUUGUUUUGAUGCUGAGAUACUGAGGUGACAGGCACCUUAUAUGUACCUAGUAGAGACAGAUUGUCCUCAAAAAAGUAGAUGUUUUAUCAGAAAAACAAAAUACACAAGCUCUUAAACAAAAAAUUCUCUCUCACAGAGGGAAAGGGGACUUGUGGAAUUGAGUUGUAAAAUAAAAAAAUAUUGGUCUUCUACUGCCUCUCCCCAUCUGGAGAAAUAACUCAGAAGUUUUUUUCCUGUUGAAUGGUUUGUUAUGAAUCUUGACAGCAGUAAUGUUUGCAUAUAAGCUGAGUAUGUUGAAAGGGUGGAUAUAAUUAGCAGAGAAACUCCAUGUGUGUGGAAGGCGCAAACCACCAAAACAGGUAGAGCAAGAGGAUGCUGCUAUGGACUAGAGCUACUUAGGAGCCAGUAAACUCAACCUCCUAAAGGGUCAGAAGGACUUGAGGAGAAAUGGAUGAAUAUUUUCCCCUUGCUGCUUGAGGAGAAUCUAUGAGAGGGCAACACCACCUCCUCAUUUUAUGGACAUUUUGAAAAUAAGUGCUGCUGCUCCUGUUUUCUGGGCAAAAUUCAGGAAUGUGGAACAUUGAAAGGCUGUAAUAUGCUGACAUUCAUUCAUUUAAAUGAGAGGACCUUGAAUAUGUUUUGUCAGCUGUCUUUACUAUUACCCUGUUACUAAUUUUAUUUUCUUGGAAGGUGUUUAAGAAGCUGCUCAGAAGAGUGUUUUGCCUGGAACCACGUGGUUUCCUAGUUGAAAAUAGCUAGUGAAACUGGCAAUACAAAAAGAAGUGAAUCAUCACCCUCUUUUUCAUAAUUUAGUUGGGUUAAUGUAUUGAAAAAUCUGUGCAAAUACAUCAUGUGGGCAGCCUAUCCAAAGGGGAUUUUUCCUCAGAAACCUCAGCACAGAGGAUAUAAAGAAACAACUGCUUUCCCUUCAAUUUCCAAGAAGUCUCUGGAAAACACAAAAACAGCACAGUAAUUUGAACAGCCAGAGAUCAUCCAAAACCCUUCAGGAACUGUUCCUCUCCCCACAGAUUUCAUGUUCCCAGCAAUCUCUGUACAAAGCUGUCAGCUCUAAGUGGGCUGGGAUCGAGAGUUCUCAGUCUGGGGAUUGUGAGCCCAAGAGGAAGUGUGAGCCAUACUGUAGUUCACUUAUUCAUGCUAGUGUUUAUAUUGACUUCAGUGGAACUAUUUAUAGACAAUAUUGGCAUUAGCAUGUAUCUAGUACAAAAAUAAGUGGAGAAACCGACAUACAAGUGAAGUCCCAUUUAAAGCAUCAUAUGGAGCAUCGCCUUGCUCGAAGGCUGAAGCAGCCAGUUGGACGUCAGGCAGCACUUGAGGAUGAAAGUCUAGCUGCCUUGGGAAAUACAGAGGCUUUUACUCUGAGGAAGGAGGGAUUAACAGGAUUAAUACCAGCGAGUAUGGAAAAGAGAUGUGGAAGAGGAGAAAGCACAAAAUAAUCAAAAAUAAUAAUAUAAAUCCAAAGAAAAAACUACAGAUCAGGCCAGAAGUCACCAUGCAAAUUCCAAUGCAUUUUCAGAUAGAUCUCAACAGAAGGAUAAAACCUGUUUAUCAGAAGUUAUUCUUCAAAAGGCACACAACAGCAAUGCAGAGAGGAGUAAAUUUAAAUAAUUGGGUCCUGCCAACCCAGAGAACAGAUGAAAUACCUCACUUGAAGAGCCUGGAGAUUAGUGAUGACAAGGGAAACAACAGAGUGAUGACAGACUCAUUGAAAAGUGCUUUGUUAGAAACUGUUGCUUUAGCUGAAAAUGAGCAUUCCAGUCAGGAUAAUGGAGCAGACAGACCUGUCUACAGUGAAUCCUCAUCACAAAGUACAGCUCAGCUGGAGCCCCAGUCUGCAAGCAGGGCUGAAAAAACAAAGUCUUCUACUCCUUUGUUACUGAGGAGCUGGGAGGUGCCUGCUAAUCUGGGAGAAGAUAAACAACGGGACCCUCCUGAUAGUGACAGAGACAGGACUAUAAUUAGGGGACACAUCAAUAUACCAUAUUCAGUCAGAAAGAAAGGCUUUAUGGUCUACAUUUGUGGAGGUUAUCAAAGUAUAGCAAUUGGAAACCAGCCCCAUUCCCACCACAGACACUCCCACACCUUGAGAUUCCUGGACUAUUAUGUAUCACAUCUGGGCUAAUUAUUAUUAUUCACUAUAUAGUGCCCAAAAAAGCUUUGCUAGGAAGUCUAGUUUCAGAGAAAGAGCAUAAGACUGGGAGUCAGGAGGUUGUUGUUCUAAGUCUGACUGCCCUUGACUCACUGUUUGGCCUACAGCAAGUUGUUUCAUUUAUUGUCUCAGUUUCUCCAUCUGUAAAAUUCAAAGGCAGAUAGAAAUGCAUUAAUGGAAAAGUCAUACCCUUGUCUGUACAAUGACUGUAAAGAAAGAGGUUACAACUUCCGGAUGCUGGACCUAAGAUGGGAGCUAAAAGAUGGUGUCAGCAACAAUCACCACAUGGUUUUACUUCACUUGAAAAUGCUGAAGAAGUGCCAGGAGUUGGGACACCAAACAUUCUUUGUUUUCACUGGGCAAAAGCAUGACAAUCCUGUCAUCCCAGAAAUCAUAUAAAAGAAAAACUUAAACGCAAUUAAAGACACAAUUGAAAGUAUAAAGCUGGUUGCAAUAAAGCUAAAGCAGAAUAUGCCAAGUAGCUUACUAUAUGGUGGCUCAAAAGAGGCAGUCUGACUGAGAAAACAGAACAGGUAGAUGAUAAUCAGACUGGUGUUACCCAAAAUUUUCUGGGAACUGACAAGUCAUCAAAAGAAAAGACAGUUGAGACCCACCCCAAUAAAGAACCAGAAUCAAAUAUUUCAGAUGAGCAGGAUUUGCCUAAUGCGUCUCCACUCACACAACAUAAACCUGUGGUCGAAUAUGAGAAAGAACUGCAGCUUCUUAAUCAGUGGUACAAACUGGAUGAAAAUUUUGACCCAAGUGUUUACAGGCUUCUACCUAUCAGCACCUUUUACCAGGAUAUUUUCCGCAAGGAUCCUGUACGCAAACAACAAGCUAAGAGUAAAUGGCUGAGCUCUUUCCAGAAACUGCAUAAGAUAUUUCAGGAAUAUGCUCUAGUUGCUCUCGGCCAAGAGACCACCACCACACUACUUAAAACAGCUUUGUCACACUAAUAUCUAUGAGACAAGUGUUAGCUGGGGAAAGGAUGGAAUCAACCCCAUCAGCAACAGAUCCCAUGCCUGCUACUUUGAACACCUGUGCAGUGACUUUCAGAAAAUUGUCAUCACGCUCUUCAACAGAAUGACCUGUUCACAGAAUUUCCCUGGGGGGCUGGAUGCAAGGAAAAGAAAGCAAGUGUAUAGAGGUUAUAGUGAUGAAGAGAUUCUGGAGCACGUCCAGCAUUGUCAAGCACUGAAUGGAAAAGAAGCCAUGGUGUUCAGUGCCAGAAAGGGAAAAGUUGUUGCUAAACUGACAGGCCAAGAGCUAGUAGUUGAGAUUCAAGGAGUAGCUGUAACAAAGGAGUACUUCCUUGUGAUAGUCAGGCGUCCCUUCAUGAGACAGCGGGAUAUUCUACAUAUAGAGAGCUCUUCGAUGUUCAUACCUUCAUCUAUACAGACACUCUGAAGGGUUGCUGCAAUGACUUUAUUUCCACCUUCUUUAUUAAUCAUCUGACCUCUCAUCUUGUGGCAUUCAGCCCCAUUCCCAACAUCAACACCACUGAGAUAGUACUGUGGAAUCUGGAGUCUGAGGAUCAUAAACAUCUGGCCAAACUAUCUUCAGUCCCUGUUGGAGGUAUGUUGUAUGCAGAAGUCUGAAUUCUGGAGUCAUUAGUGUGGAUCAUAGUGAAAUCAAAGUGCAAAAGCAAGGCAGUAACAGUGGAGAGAAGACUGGUGGAGAACACAGAUGUUGUGCUGGUUAGAGACAUGAAACUCUUUGAACUUACCGACAAAGGGAUGGCUUCCUUUACAGAGGCUUCAAGACCAAUUUUUCAGACCCUGUUAACUUAUGAUCUUCUGAAAAAGAAGUAUAUAAAGAAAAAGACAGGCAUUUACAUUAUUUCUUGCCAAAAUAACGAGUACAAGAUUCUUGAGGGAGGUCUGUUAUUCGGCCUCUCCGAGAAUAGAGACCAUUUUUUCAUUUGGAAUAUGGAAACUGGAUUUGUAAAGGAUCGGAUAAAACGAGAGUACAAAGACAAGGGCUCCUCCGCAACCCAUUCUGCUUGGCCAUCUCAUGUCUAAGGACACCAGGACCCUGUACAAGGAUAUUCUGUCCAAAAGGAAAAGAGGGAAGGGAACAACAGAUGUCUCCCAUAGAAGCCUAGCCCUGCUCCUCCCAUCAAUCCUGUUAUUUUAGUACUUCAGAGGCCCUGGGAAAGACGUAAUGAAAGUAAGACUGCAAAGAAAAGGAGGCUGGAGAAUGAGGUAAAACAGGAGCUGGAGAAGCUACAGCAACUUGCUAAUGAGAAGUACAAUGCUAUUGAUCAGUACCGGCUCAGUGGAGAUGAAAAGGAAUGCUGAGAGGCUACACUGUAGACCGCAAUCUGCUAAACAUGUGUAUAGGUAACAGUACGCACAUGAAUUGUUCCAUUGUGGUUAGGUUACGAAGCGAUUAAAAAAUGAGCCAAAUGUGUGUUGUGCGGCCAUUACAGAUGAUGCCAGUCGAAUUAUUUUUGGUGUCAUGAUGGAAAACAGGUGAAGUAAGUCUGUGGGACUUGGACAGCUGUUCAGUUAUGUCAGUCUUUACACCUGAUAGCAAUAUCUCCUGCCUAACAGUAGCGCUGGACAGGAAGACAAUUCUUGUAGGUAUGAGUGACAGCCCUGCUCUUAUCAUCUUGAAAAAAAUCAAGUGCCAAAGUCACUGUGAAUUCUACUGAUAGAGACUUAUUUGGAGAAGAAUCUACUAGCAGUGAAGAAGAAUCUGAAGGAAACUAGAGAAUAUCAAACGAUUAAGGAAUCUAGAGAUAUUGAUACUUAAACAUUUAGUACAGGGGUGGCCAACCUGAGUCUGAGAAGGAGCCAGAAUUUACCAAUGUACGUUGAUAAAGAGCCACAAUAAUACAUCAGCAACCCCCAUGAGCUCUCCCACCCACCGGCAGCCCCGACGAUCAGCGACUUCCCCUCCCUCCCCAUCAGCUGUUUUGUGGCAUGCAGGAGGCUCGGAGGUGGAGGAACGAGGGCAUAGCAGGUUCAGGGGAGGGGGUGGGAAGGGAUGGAGUGGGGGCAGGGCCUAUGUCAGAGCCAGGGAUUGAGCAGUGAGCACCCCCCCGCACAUUGGGAAGCUGGUGCCUGUAGCUCAAGCCCUGGAGUUGGUGCCUAUACAAGGAGCUGCAUAUUAACUUCUGAAAAUCCGCAG